UACGGAGGGGGCUAGCGUUGUUCGGAAUUACUGGGCGUAAAGCGCACGUAGGCGGCUUUGUAAGUUAGAGGUGAAAGCCCAGGGCUCAACCCUGGAAUUGCCUUUAAGACUGCAUCGCUUGAAUCAUGGAGAGGUGAGUGGAAUUCCGAGUGUAGAGGUGAAAUUCGUAGAUAUUCGGAAGAGCACCAGUGGCGAAGGCGACUCACUGGACAUGUAUUGACGCUGAGGUGCGAAAGCGUGGGGAGCAAACAGG
rnacentral:rRNA from 1 species